GCGUGAAACCGCUUAGAAUAAAACGGACGGAGCCGUCAGGAGCUUUCGAGACUCAGUCGACAUAGUAGGCGAAAGUAUGUACGUUCGGAGAGCAUAAAUAAGUCUCCGGCGUCGUAUCUAGUAUGCCGAUAGUCGAUGCAUUUCUCGAGAGUAAGCAUCGCAACCGAUACGAAAGGCUAGCGAGGCGAUCGGAUUGAGGUCUAACCGCUCCUCGCGGAAGGUUAGUUACCAGUCCGGUCGCGCUUUAAUCGCUAGAUCGCAGUAUGUAUCGAGCGCCGAUUAAAACUCAAAAUACGUCCACCUUAAAGGUUCGUCGAGCGACGGAUAGUCGGUCGGUUCCCAAAUGGUUGGUUACCUGCUCGCAGGUGCUAGCUAACUGAUCGACUUAGAAAUCGUCGGCGAUAUCUAGGACGUAUAGGCGUUAGCGGUGUCAGCGUCGGUCACCCGUCCGACCCGUCUUGAAACACGGACCAAGGAGUCUAACAUAUGCGCGAGUCAAUAGGUGGAAAACCUAAAGGCGUAAUAAAA
rnacentral:rRNA from 1 species